rnacentral:ncRNA from 26 species
GCUAUGUCUAGGCUGAUCCCCGAAAACCCGUACACCUCUGCGGGCUGGCAUAGCCGUCAAAAUCAGAGG